GACGAACGCUGGCGGCGUGCUUAACACAUGCAAGUCGAACGGAAAGGCCCUGCUUUUGUGGGGUGCUCGAGUGGCGAACGGGUGAGUAACACGUGAGUAACCUGCCCUCUUCUUUGGGAUAACGCCCGGAAACGGGUGCUAAUACUGGAUAUUCACUGAUCUUCGCAUGGGGGUUGGUGGAAAGGUUUGUUCUGGUGGGGGAUGGGCUCGCGGCCUAUCAGCUUGUUGGUGGGGUGAUGGCCUACCAAGGCUUUGACGGGUAGCCGGCCUGAGAGGGUGACCGGUCACAUUGGGACUGAGAUACGGCCCAGACUCCUACGGGAGGCAGCAGUGGGGAAUAUUGCACAAUGGGCGAAAGCCUGAUGCAGCGACGCCGCGUGAGGGAUGGAGGCCUUCGGGUUGUAAACCUCUUUCGCUCAUGUUCAAGCCGCGACGUGGGUUGUGGUGAGGGUAGUGGGUAAAGAAGCGCCGGCUAACUACGUG
rnacentral:rRNA from 1 species